ensembl:lncRNA
GCCUUCUCCCAUUGGGUGGUCCAGAUAGGACGGGUAGCGGGAGAGGACAGAGUUUGUGGCGAGCACGUCCACCUGUCUCGCGUGUUCUCUGAUUCUCGAAUCCCCCACCAAGGAGAGCCUGCCUAGACUUCACCAAUGCCUGGCUUCAGAGAAGGGCUUCCAGAAUUGACAUGUGCGAAGCGUCCCUCUCCUUGGGAGACACGGUGAUCCGAGAGCUGCUUGGACCUGGAGCUUUGUCUCAGGCCGCUGAGGGGUGGGUUGAAGAUGUCUGGGCCGAGAAGGAGGAGGAGGAGAGUCCGCCGGUUCCCUUAGAAUCUCCCCAGGUUCUCAGGGUGCAGCGGCUCCCAGAGGACAGAAGUGGAUCCUGGGGACCUUUAUGGAGGAGAGUGUUCCAGGCAGAGCUUGGCCUGAAGGAACUUUGCCUGACUGGCAAGAGACUUAUAAACUCCAAAAUAUGCAAGUCAUCCUCCAUCUUGUUUUCCAUUUCCUUUGAGGCCGUUCCUUGGGCAUUGAGGCUUGAAUCCUGCUAUCAGAACUUUGGUGUUCUCUGGACACGUAACGUCCCCAGCGGGGCCCUAGCCUUUGGACUUGAACUGGAAUUUACACAACUGGCUUUGUUGAGUCUCCAAAUUACAGACAGCAGACCAUGGGACUUCUCCGCCUCCAUAAUCAUAGCUGGACUGCAGUGCUGUACCUUGCCAGCAGAGAAGGCUGUCUAGCACACAUCAGCCUGAAACCAGGAGAGGCCUUGGGCUCCAGUGCAUCCCCCACUGGAUGAGAG